GUUGUAUAGGUUGGGUGCACCUCUCUUCCUUUCUUUUAGAAAAAAAAUAUUUUAAGAAGCCAGGAGAAAUUUUUUAUGCGCAUUUUAUGGUAGCCUUUCAGCAUGAGUCUGAUUCUAAACACCUUUCUAAGGAAAAAAAAAAAUAAAACUUAAAACUGGGAGUCCACAAUCACCGUCAUUUGGAUGUUGUGCUUCCCGCAACCGACUAGUGAACUUGGUCCAAUACGAUUACGC
rnacentral:lncRNA from 1 species